GUGGAAACUGGCGCACGGGUGAGUAACGCGUGGGUAUCUACCUCGGGGUGGGGAAUAACCGCUGGAAACGGCGGCUAGUACCGCAUACGCCUCACGAGGGAAAGCUCCGGCGCCCUGAGAGGAGCCCGCGUUGGAUUAGCUUGUUGGGUGGGGUAACGGCCCACCAAGGCGACGAUCUAUAGCUGGUCUGAGAGGAUGAUCAGCCACACUGGGACUGAGACACGGCCCAGACUCCUACGGGAGGCAGCAGUGGGGAAUAUUGGACAAUGGGCGCAAGCCUGAUCCAGCCAUGCCGCGUGAGUGAAGAAGGCCUUAGGGUUGUAAAGCUCUUUCACCUGCGAAAAUGAUGACGGUAGCAGGAGAAGAAGCCCCGGCUAACUCCGUGCCAGCAGCCGCGGUAAUACGGAGGGGGCAAGCGUGGUUCGGAAUUACUGGGCGUAAAGGGCGCGUAGGCGGUAUGCCGUGUCAGGGGUGAAAGGCCUGNGCUC
rnacentral:rRNA from 1 species